AGAAAUGUGGCUUUGUUCAAAGUCACAGAGACACAGCACAGAGGGCCCCGGCUAGCACACCUGUCCCUGUCACAGAGGUCUCUGCUACCCCACCUGUGCUCUGCCUCAGAUUGGUUCUCAGACUGUGGGAAUGAAUUCAACUACACAGGAUUACUGAAUCUUCCCACAUAUUGGCUUACUACAGCAUAAUAUUUAUAUUUUGUUCUCUCCAACAUCACCAUCAGAUCAUCUAAUUUUUAUAAAUCCAUGACUAGAACAUUUUAAUUUUGUUACUUAUGGUCACGUGAAUCAAUUUUUUAACCGUACACUGUAUUUAUAAGUUAAAAAUUUAUAAAUUCAAGACGCUGUAAAGUUUCUGUCUUUAACAUGUGAAGGAAACGCAGGCUGGAAGUCACAAAGAGAGCAGGGGUCCCCAUUUCCCAGCAUCCUGUGGAGAGGUGUGCUUGCACCAGGUCAGAGCUAGACGAAUGUGCUUCAGUAGGUUUUUUUGAAGGGUGUGGUAGUGCACCUUGCUAGUCUCUGUUCAGAUCUUCUCAAAUGCGUUCUAACAGUUCUGUACCCUCCUUCUUCAGUGUCAUUGUGCUUUUGGUUCAUACAGUCCAUACUGUAAGACUCCUCUUCAUCCGACAACCCUUGGACUACUAGAGUUGUCUUCCCAGAAGCACAAAGGGCAAAAAGUGCUUGGGAGGUCACAUCCCACCAACUCCUCACCUUCCCCCACCAAUAACAAACAGCUGAGAGCUUGUCUUGCCUUUGCACAGAACAAAUCUGAGAAGUAACUUAGACUCCAGAGUUUUUCUGUAGGAUCAAGCUAAAGCUACUCUUCUCCAGACUUCAUCAAGGAUCACAUCUUUGCUUGUCUUCUUCUCCUUCUCUGACUUGCUUUUCCCCACUCCUUUAUAUGUUUCUCUAGGAAGAGUUCUAUAGUGAAUCACUUGCACAAGAUAAUCUUUAAUCUUGGGUUAGGAUCUAUUUUCCGAUAACUUGACUUCAAACAUGGGGCAAGUGUGGAAGCCAACUCUUACCUGCAGAUUUAUUUGGUCACCAGGCUUUCUGACCUUAGUGUCAGCAGUUUUCAGUUGUGAAAUAGCAGCUGCUGAGCACAUGGAAAUCUGGGGAAGCCAUGGGAGGUUUGGUAGGUGUAUUAGUUAUCUUUUGCUUGUAACAAAUUACCCCAAACUUAACAGUUUAAACAAUGCACAUUCAUAAUCUUACAGUGUCUGUGUGUCAGGAAUCACAGCACAAUUUAACUAAGUCUUCUUCUUUAGGGUCUCCCAUGAAACUAUAAUCAAAGUAUCAGACUGGACUGCAGUCACACUGGGGUUUAACAAGAUUUGAAGACUGGCACCUUAACAGCCAUCUUUGGAGCAUGAGGGAAAGGCAAAGAGGAUUACAGACACAUCAUCCUUGAGCCUCUAGCCCAGCACUGCCUACCACCAGAUUCCUCAAUAUGAAGGAAACAUAAACAUAAAUUGCCUCAGCCAUUGUGCUUGGGUUUUCUCUCGCUUAGAACCAAAUAAGGCUUUCAUUUUUCAUCUAUCUCAGUGUUUCCUUAAAUGUUGGAUAUAUGUCUUUGAUGUUAUGACUACAGAAGCUAAUUUCAUGUUGUUUAGAGCAAGUCACUAAAUAAUAUUAUGUCAAUAACAUAAACUUCAUUUCGUUUCUCAUUUUACUGCAGUCAUUCGGAUUAUAUAAAGACCUAAGUAUGACUUAAAUAGUCAUUUUUUUUUAAUUAUCCUUUUCUAAAAUGCCUAAACAGGCUAUCAAGCUUAUAAUUAAUAGUAUUGUUUUGAUCAUAUUUGUAUUUAUCAUUACUUUUCCUUCAUAUUAAACAAUGCUGGUUUCUGUUUUUGACAAGUUUAUUAGCAGACGUAGGGAACUAUGUUAAGAAAAUAUGGACUCAGGUGGCACAUGCAUAUGGCAAAAUUCUUGAGGGUAAAAUAGCAAAUUAUUAAAGCAGGGAAACACCAUUGCACCAUGUCACUUUUAAUGGUUGUAGACUGUACUCUCAGAAGAUUAUAUUUGGGUGUAAUAUUUAGAAUAUUAACAUCUUGCAUGUUGUGGGCACAAACCGCCAACCAAUAAUCAUAAAGCAAAUGGCAGAAACAGAUGCUAACAUAAACCGUUGGAACUGUGGGUGACUAUCAGCUACUUAUCAGGCCUGAUUGUAACAACAGUGCAUUUAAUCAGUCGCUUAGUAAAAACUACAUUUAAGUUGUGACAUGUUAGCAGCCAAAUCUUUGCUAAAUUUAUUCAUCAAAUAAAUGUUUCAAUUAUUUCCUCAAGAUUAAUGACUAAAAGUUAAGUUUCUGGAGACAAUGACAAAUAUUUUUUAAGUAUUUUCAUAUGUAUUUACCUAAAUAUCUCCCAGAAUGCUUAUACCAAUUCCAUUCCUACAAAUAUUGUAAAAAACUGAAUUUUUUUCUCAAUCUUUCUAUCAUGUUUUUUGUUCAUGAACAAACAGGUCUAUUUGUUCGUAAUCAUUUUCUUUUAUUCAUGAAAUAUGUCACAACAAUCACUCAAUUCAAUAUAUAUUAAUCUAACAAAUUAUUUCAAAAUUUCAGUAUAUUUUAAAUAUUAAAUGCCACACAAUGUACUUUAUUUUUAAAUUGGUAGAUAUUUGUACUUAUUUAUUGUGUACAUGUGAUUUUUGACAUGUAUCUACAAUGUGUAAUGAUCAAAUCAGAGUAUGCAGCUCAUCCAUCACCUCAAACAUUUAUCAUUUCUUUGUGUUGGGAACAUUUCAAACCUUCCGUUCUAGCUAUUUACACAAUGCACUUUCUAACAAACUAAAUAACGUUGAGAUAUAAAAUGAUAAUGCUAGUAAUUUUCACUCACCCUACCUACUUCACAAACAUACCUACCUUGAGUCUAUCUUUUUAGCAGAGAUAUCUCAUAUUAUUCCAUUUUUAAACACACAUAUGCCAAUAUAUAGCCAUGUAUAAGGACUUCAAAUACUUCUGUCUUAGAAAAAUGAGAUUUUAAUAACAGUUUGGCAAUUUUUGUCUUUGGAGUAUCAUUUACAUCCCAUCACAUCAAUAGUGAGAGAUACAAUUCACUUUUGAUGUUGGGUUAUACUACACGGUGUUAAUAUUUUAUAACCAAUUCAAACAUUACCUACUCUAUUGGCAUAUAUAUAUCUACUCCCAAAUCUUUUGCUACCAUUAAAAAAGUCCCUGUAGACAUACAUGUUUCUACUCAUGUUUAUUGAGUUUUUCUCUUGAAGAGAGAUCUCCUCCACUUCACACACAUAACAAAAUAGGAUUGUUAAGUCAGAGUAUGUAUAAUUUUAACUCACAGUUGUUAUAGAAUAUGUGAGACUACAUUUCUCCACAAAAUGUUCCAGUAUACAUAUUUCCCCAUUUAAUACUGGAUAUUACUAGUCUUUUAAAUUUUGUUAAUCUGAUGUUUUUUAAAAAUGAUGUUUUCUUGUGAUUUACUUACCAUGAGUUUCAGAAUAUUUUUUAUUUCCUUCUUUAUUUUAAUAAUUUUCAGUUAUCUUUUAUGGGUUGUCUUUCUUGCUUAUUGUAUCAUUUUUACUUUAACUUUUGCUGUUUUUGAAUUUAUAGUGCGGUGUGUGGGUGGGUGGAUGGGUGUGUAUACACACAAUUGUCCAUAUAGAAAUGAUGGUCCAUAUAUAUAUGGAAUAUUAAAUUUUGAUUACAAUAAAUGGUUCAAAUGCUU
rnacentral:lncRNA from 1 species